rnacentral:rRNA from 1 species
CCUACGGGAGGCAGCAGUGGGGAAUAUUGCACAAUGGGCGAAAGCCUGAUGCAGCGACGCCGCGUGAGGGAUGACGGCCUUCGGGUUGUAAACCUCUUUCAGCAGGGAAGAAGCGAGAGUGACGGUACCUGCAGAAGAAGCGCCGGCUAACUACGUGCCAGCAGCCGCGGUAAUACGUAGGGCGCAAGCGUUGUCCGGAAUUAUUGGGCGUAAAGAGCUCGUAGGCGGCUUGUUGCGUCGGUUGUGAAAGCCCGGGGCUUAACCCCGGGUCUGCAGUCGAUACGGGCAGGCUAGAGUGUGGUAGGGGAGAUCGGAAUUCCUGGUGUAGCGGUGAAAUGCGCAGAUAUCAGGAGGAACACCGGUGGCGAAGGCGGAUCUCUGGGCCAUUACUGACGCUGAGGAGCGAAAGCGUGGGGAGCGAACAGGAUUAGAUACCCUGGUAGUCCACGCCGUAAACGUUGGGAACUAGGUGUUGGCGACAUUCCACGUCGUCGGUGCCGCNGCUACGACAUUAACGUUACCCGUCCCGUCGGGAGGUACGGCCGGCCGACGGACGUAAACUAACAAAGAAGUUAGACGGCGUGAGACGNGCCGACGGACGACGACGAGGGAGGUAGG